rnacentral:rRNA from 1 species
GAUGAACGCUAGCGGCAGGCCUAAUACAUGCAAGUCGAACGGGUGGUCGCAAGCCCACUAGUGGCGCACGGGUGCGUAACGCGUAACCAACCUGCCCCGAUCUGGGGGAUAGCCCGCCGAAAGGCGGAUUAAUACCGCAUAUACCCGCAGCCUGGCAUCAGGCAACGGGGAAAGAUUUAUUGGAUCGGGAUGGGGUUGCGUGACAUUAGCUAGUUGGCGGGGUAAGGGCCCACCAAGGCGACGAUGUCUAGGGGAACUGAGAGGGUGAUCCCCCACACUGGCACAGAGAUACGGGCCAGACUCCUACGGGAGGCAGCAGUAGGGAAUAUGGGGGAGUGGGCGAGAGCCUGACCCAGCCAGGCCGCGUGCCGGAUGAAGGCCUUCUGGGUUGUAAACGGCUUUUCUCAGGGAAGAAAAAGACCUUGCGAGGUACACUGACGGUACCUGAGGAAUAAGCACCGGCUAACUACGUG